CAGUCGAACGGUGAAGCCAAGCUUGCUUGGUGGAUCAGUGGCGAACGGGUGAGUAACACGUGAGCAACCUGCCCCGGAAUCUGGGAUAAGCGCUGGAAACGGCGUCUAAUACUGGAUACGAGCUGCGAAGGCAUCUUCAGCAGUUGGAAAGAUUUUUCGUUCCGGGAUGGGCUCGCGGCCUAUCAGCUUGUUGGUGAGGUAAUGGCUCACCAAGGCGUCGACGGGUAGCCGGCCUGAGAGGGUGACCGGCCACACUGGGACUGAGACACGGCCCAGACUCCUACGGGAGGCAGCAGUGGGGAAUAUUGCACAAUGGGCGGAAGCCUGAUGCAGCAACGCCGCGUGAGGGAUGACGGCCUUCGGGUUGUAAACCUCUUUUAGCAGGGAAGAAGCGAGAGUGACGGUACCUGCAGAAAAAGCGCCGGCUAACUACGUGCCAGCAGCCGCGGUAAUACGUAGGGCGCAAGCGUUAUCCGGAAUUAUUGGGCGUAAAGAGCUCGUAGGCGGUUUGUCGCGUCUGCUGUGAAAUCCCGAGGCUCAACCUCGGGUCUGCAGUGGGUACGGGCAGACUAGAGUGCGGUAGGGGAGAUUGGAAUUCCUGGUGUAGCGGUGGAAUGCGCAGAUAUCAGGAGGAACACCGAUGGCGAAGGCAGAUCUCUGGGCCGUUACUGACGCUGAGGAGCGAAAGGGUGGGGAGCAAACAGGCUUAGAUACCCUGGUAGUCCACCCCGUAAACGUUGGGAACUAGUUGUGGGGACCAUUCCACGGUUUCCGUGACGCAGCUAACGCAUUAAGUUCCCCGCCUGGGGAGUACGGCCGCAAGGCUAAAACUCAAAGGAAUUGACGGGGACCCGCACAAGCGGCGGAGCAUGCGGAUUAAUUCGAUGCAACGCGAAGAACCUUACCAAGGCUUGACAUAUACGAGAACGGGCCAGAAAUGGUCAACUCUUUGGACACUCGUAAACAGGUGGUGCAUGGUUGUCGUCAGCUCGUGUCGUGAGAUGUUGGGUUAAGUCCCGCAACGAGCGCAACCCUCGUUCUAUGUUGCCAGCACGUAAUGGUGGGAACUCAUGGGAUACUGCCGGGGUCAACUCGGAGGAAGGUGGGGAUGACGUCAAAUCAUCAUGCCCCUUAUGUCUUGGGCUUCACGCAUGCUACAAUGGCCGGUACAAUGGGCUGCAAUACCGUGAGGUGGAGCGAAUCCCAAAAAGCCGGUCCCAGUUCGGAUUGAGGUCUGCAACUCGACCUCAUGAAGUCGGAGUCGCUAGUAAUCGCAGAUCAGCAACGCUGCGGUGAAUACGUUCCCGGGUCUUGUACACACCGCCCGUCAAGUCAUGAAAGUCGGUAACACCUGAAGCCGGUGGCCUAACCCUU
rnacentral:rRNA from 1 species